AAGACUAUAGACCUGCGGAGUACCUGCGGAGGGAUCAUUACUGAAUGGCCUUUUUGGCCUAUCACCUUUCAAACCUGUGGAAGCAACACGUGCUUCGGUGCCCCUGGGCGCCGCUUUUAUGCUGUAAUCAGUCUUGUGUCUGAAUCUGAAUAAGAAUCAAAACUUUUAGCAACGGAUCUCU
rnacentral:misc_RNA from 1 species